UACGUAGGGUGCGAGCGUUGCCCCGGAUUUAUUGGGCGUAAAGGGCGCGUAGGCGGCUCGGCACGUCCGUUGUGAAAUCGCCCGGCUCAACUGGGCGGGGUCAGCGGAUACGGUCGAGCUUGAGCAAGCUAGGGGGCAAUGGAAUUCCCGGUGUAGUGGUGGAAUGCGUAGAUAUCCGGAGGAACACCAGUGGCGAAAGCGGCCACCUGGACUGCACCUGACGCUGACACGCGAAAGCUAGGGGGAGCGAACGGG
rnacentral:rRNA from 1 species